UUCCACUGAUGCCUCUGCUACAUAUGCAGCA
rnacentral:piRNA from 1 species